GAUGAACGCUGGCGGCGUGCCUAAUACAUGCAAGUCGAGCGAAUGGAUUGAGAGCUUGCUCUUAUGAAGUUAGCGGCGGACGGGUGAGUAACACGUGGGUAACCUGCCCAUAAGACUGGGACAACUCCGGGAAACCGGGGCUAAUACCGGAUAACAUUUUGAACCGCAUGGUUCGAAAUUGAAAGGCGGCUUCGGCUGUCACUUAUGGAUGGACCCGCGUCGCAUUAGCUAGUUGGUGAGGUAACGGCUCACCAAGGCAACGCUGCGUAGCCGACCUGAGAGGGUGAUCGGCCAGACUGGGACUGAGACACGGCCCAGACUCCUACGGGAGGCAGCAGUAGGGAAUCUUCCGCAAUGGACGAAAGUCUGAAGGAGCAACGCCGCGUGAGUGAUGAAGGCUUUCGGGUCGUAAAACUCUGUUGUUAGGGAAGAACAAGUGCUAGUUGAAUAAGCUGGCACCUUGACGGUACCUAACCAGAAAGCCACGGCUAACUACGUGCCAGCCGCCGCGGUAA
rnacentral:rRNA from 1 species